rnacentral:siRNA from 1 species
UUGCAAUUGUUGGUCUUCA